ACUAAAUAGAUACCCCGGUAGUCCACGCCGUAAACGAUGAUCACUCGCUGUUUGCGAUAUACAGCAAAGCGGCUGAGCGAAAGCAUUAAGUGAUCCACCUGGGGAGUACGAUCGCAAGGUUGAAACUCAAAGGAAUUGACGGGGGCCCGCACAAGCGGAGGAACAUGUGGUUUAAUUCGAUGAUACGCGAGGAACCUUACCUGGGCUUAAAUGUAGGCUGCAUUCGGCUGAAAGGCUGAUUCCCUUCGGGGCUGCUUACAAGGUGCUGCAUGGUUGUCGUCAGCUCGUGCCGUGAGGUGUCGGGUUAAGUCCCAUAACGAGCGCAACCCCUAUCGUUAGUUGCCAGCGGGUCAAGCCGGGGACUCUAGCGAGACUGCCACCGUAAGGUGAGAGGAAGGUGGGGAUGACGUCAAAUCAGCACGGCCCUUAUGUCCAGGGCUACACACGUGUUACAAUGGCCGGUACAAAGGGCAGCUACUAUGCGAAUAGAUGCUAAUCUCGAAAGCCGGUCCCAGUUCGG
rnacentral:rRNA from 1 species